rnacentral:ncRNA from 2 species
UACGUAGGGUGCAAGCGUUGUCCGGAAUUAUUGGGCGUAAAGAGCUCGUAGGCGGCUUGUCGCGUCUGCUGUGAAAACCAGAGGCUCAACCUCUGGCCUGCAGUGGGUACGGGCAAGCUAGAGUGCGGUAGGGGAGAUUGGAAUUCCUGGUGUAGCGGUGGAAUGCGCAGAUAUCAGGAGGAACACCGAUGGCGAAGGCAGAUCUCUGGGCCGUAACUGACGCUGAGGAGCGAAAGCAUGGGGAGCGAACAGG